rnacentral:rRNA from 1 species
GAUGAACGCUGGCGGCGUGCCUAAUACAUGCAAGUCGAGCGAACGGACGAGAAGCUUGCUUCUCUGAUGUUAGCGGCGGACGGGUGAGUAACACGUGGAUAACCUACCUAUAAGACUGGGAUAACUUCGGGAAACCGGAGCUAAUACCGGAUAAUAUUUUGAACCGCAUGGUUCAAAAGUGAAAGACGGUCUUGCUGUCACUUAUAGAUGGAUCCGCGCUGCAUUAGCUAGUUGGUAAGGUAACGGCUUACCAAGGCAACGAUGCAUAGCCGACCUGAGAGGGUGAUCGGCCACACUGGAACUGAGAAACGGUCCAGACUCCUACGGGAGGCAGCAGUAGGGAAUCUUCCGCAAUGGGCGAAAGCCUGACGGAGCAGCGCCGCGUGAGUGAUGAAGGUCUUCGGAUCGUAAAACUCUGUUAUUAGGGAAGAACAUAUGUGUAAGUAACUGUGCACAUCUUGACGGUACCUAAUCAGAAAGCCACGGCUAACUACGUG